UACCUGUCUCAUUUGUUGUCAAAACUGGAAAGUGUUUAUCAGAAGAACAGGGGAUUUGAUAAGCAGACAGAAGGCAAUGGACGUUAUAGAAAUCCAUGUUGCCAGUAGUGUAGGAAAGGCAGAGCCCUGCUCCACCAGCCAACUUCAGUUGGAGCUGUGUUUCGAACUCAUCAAGUGCUGAAAAGCCCCCGAAGUUCUUUGUAUGCCUUGCUAGUUUUUUGAUUUUUUUUUUUUUUUUAAUCCAAAUAACUUUGGGCGUUAGUUCCCUAUCUGUAAAAUGAAGGGGAUAAUAGCUCUUACAUGGUGUUAGAAGAAGAGUAUUUAUUUAUCUAUUUAGCGGAUCAGUGAGGAGUGAGUCGUGAAGAAAUUCAUCACUGUGUUUUCAGGGCAAGGUUCGAAUGAAGUGUAAUAAAAAUAUGGUCCAUGCAUUGUUGUUAAAUUUUUCCAAUUUAUACAUUCUCAUUAAGCUAGCUCUAUCCAUUUCAUGUACUGAGCGAGCCAGAUAGCCUGUGGAAAAAUCGUAUGUGCUCAUGUAAUUAAAGGUUGUGUUAUAAUGCAUAUUCACAAAGAGACUAUGGUGUAGUUAAAUGUGGCACUUUACCUAAUUUUAUAUAUUGACUUCACAGUUUUGCUAUAUGAAAGUUGCAGCAUUGUCUUUUGUACAUAUGUGUGUGUGUGUGUACACAUGGGUGGGCACAUGCACAGAAUUUGUCUGUUAACCUGUUUGAAUUACAAUCAGAACAACUCUGAGGAGACUUACCUGUGGAAUUUAAAAUUGUUCUUGGUAUAUUAUAAUAACCUGAAAUAAAGUUGUAUUCAGUCUCACUUGAAA